AUGCUGAAACAAGCGAUGGUGAGCACACCAGUGCUAGCGCUUCCAGAUUUCUCUCGCCCUUUUGCCAUUGAGACUGACGCGUGCGACACGGGAGUGGGGGCGGUGCUCACCCAGGACGACCACCCUGUUGCCUAUCUCAGCAAGGCUUUGGGGAUCAAGAACCAGAAGUUGUCCACGUAUGAAAAGGAGUUCUUGGCCGUUAUGAAGGCCAUUGACGAGUGGAGACCUUACCUGCAGCGGGCUCCGUUUGAAAUCCUCACCGAUCACAAGAGCCUCUGCAUGCUCGGGGAUCAACAGCUGGUGACUGAGCUGCACGCAAGGCCAUGUCCAAAAUGA
rnacentral:rRNA from 1 species